GCACACACCGCCUCUCUCAAAACCUUUAUUAUCAGCAAAUAACAAAAGUCCGGGGAGCGCACGGCCGGGUGGGUGGGCAGCGCAAGCAGCGUGCGCACAGGGACGGGGCGAGGGGUGUCCCCACAGCCGGGAGCACAAUGACAACAGCUCAUAAAUAAACACCGCGAUGGGAAACCUCGGGCUCUGGGCCCAGUGCGCUCUGACCCCCCGCCCCCCUGGACAUGGGGAGCAGCUGGACCUCACAAUGGGGUGAGCUGGGAGGGGGGAGGGGGGAAUGCGAGGAUGGGAAUGCGGGAGCUGAGCCACUGGGGGACCGCGUGUCACUAGUGUCACAGCAUCCCCUGAAGCUGCGGGAUGGGUGGAACACUAGGACAGCAGUGACCAUCCCAGCCAACCAUCCUGGGGAGGGCAGAGCGCACAGGGGAUGAGCAGAGACACCUUCUACCUUUGCCUUUAAACACUGAAGCUUAUAUUAGGGACUAUGGCAUAGAACCUAGAGGUUCUAUAGAGACAGCAGAGAGCACAGCUCCGUGGCCGAGGGCUGCUCCGGUACUUGUAGGUGCGGGAGGUGAUGGGGCCGCCUGCCUAGGGCUGGUUCUUCGCCUCAGGGUCUUUGUCGUAGAUGUAGCUGCCCACGGCUCCGGUAUUGACGCCUGCAAGGAGGGACGUGCACAGCGGUUGUGAUGUGAGUAGGACGCGCGUCCCCCCGCCCCACACCCCAAGCACUCACCCUUGGGCCCGAAGAGGAUCCCGUAGCAGGGCUUGUGGCAGUAGGGCUGCCCGUCGUGCUGAGCGGCGAGGAGAGACAGACGUGUCACCGUGUGGCACAGCGGGGCUGUGCAGGGCGCUGCGCGGAGCCGCGCUGCCCUCUCGCGGUGGCACAGCCCGGCACGGCGCAGCCCGGCACGGCACGGCACCGCGGUGCGGGGCCGGGGGUGGCCGCCCUUACCUCGGCGUGGCCCCCGGGGGUCAGCGUCUUGCUGCAGCGCUCGCAGCGUAGGCAGGGCCGGUGCCAGGCCUUUCCCAGCGAGGUCACCUUCUCGGCUAUAACGGGGACAAGAGGGGCCCCCCCACACGUCACCAAAACGUGGAGAUGUCACCUCUUCGGAUAAAACCCCACAGACCCCAGCCACCUGCAUGCCCCAAACCUUCUCGGCUAUAACGGGGACAAGAGGGACCCCCCCACAC
rnacentral:lncRNA from 1 species